CGAGCAUAUAUUUUAUUAAGUCACAAUAGCCCAUACAGUCAAAAAUAGAACACUCCACUUUAUGAUUGUGCUGUGUGUAUUGUUUGUGUGGAAUGACCCCGUUUGCAUAUGUGUGUGUGGACACCCUUACCAUCUCCCACCGGCCAUAGACAAUUAUCAUUAAGUUUAGCAGUCAUCAAUAUUGGAUAAAUAGGAAUAGCUUCCAUCACAUUUUUCCCAAAGUCACCAGUCUAGAACUAACUUGCUCCACCCCUAUAAAUGUAAUAAGCUUUCUUAGGAGCCCUCCUAAUCAAAGGAACACCAAGACACUAUUCAAGAAAAUUAGUUUGUCGAAAAUUGGAUAGACGCACCAAUAUCUUCCUAGUAGCUCGAGUAGUAUUUUGUGAGAAGAAAAUACCAGUAUUUUCUUGACAUAAUUGCCUUAGAGGUUUUGUGACACAAUUCAUUUGCAUUUAUCUAUCCUCUCGAAACAAGUAUAGAGCUCAUCAGAAAACAUCAAGUGAGACACCAAUGGCCCAAAACAAAACACUCUAACAGGGGCUUACGUGUUCCCAAACCCCACCUUAUUUUAUAUAUUAUAUUUUACAUAGUGCCAUGAACCUCCUUCCAAAGCAGUAACUGUAUAUUCCAAAAGGUACGUAUCAUUAUUUUUAUCAUCAACAUUAUCAAAACAAAACAUUUAGUACAUAGUGAAUUUAGUCUAUUUUAUGUUGAAACAAGAAAAGAAAGACAAGAUCAUAAAAGAGAGUAAUGGAAUAAACAUGUAGAGAGAAAAUAUGCAACAUAACUCUUUUUUAAAAUACAUCAAAAUAUUUUUAAAACAACAUUGCAGCAUACUAAAAUCAAUUCAAAAUACUAAUUCUACUUUUUUUACAAAUGAAAUGUUUAAUUUUUACCCAGUAAUGGACAAAAAUCAAAUGAAUCUAAACUGAUCUCAUUCUUGAAUCGCUUCCAUUUUGAGAGGCCGUCUAGGCAAAGAACCUUCACUACUGGUAAUGGAAUUGGUGGAAUGAAAUGGAUUAGGCGGAAAUGUUAAUUGGCUGUCAUCUUCUGUUUCCAACAUUUGUAUGACGGUUUUAAUGGAAGGACGAUUCAUUGGCUGCCACUGAAUACACCAAAGUCCGACAAUUGCAAGUUUCCUUGCAAUUUUAGCAUUGCCAACUUCAUCUUCAACAUUUAUAUGUAUGUCUCCUUCCAAUAAGUUAUGAAUCCAUUCCGGGUAUAAAACAUGCAAAUCUUCUGCAGAUGACGAAUCUACAUUCUUUCUUCCUCCAACCAUUUCUAGCAACAACAUUCCAUAACUGUAUAUAUCAGACUUAAGAGAAACAUUUCCAAAAUUUCGAGACACUACUUCGGGUGCCAUAUAUCCCAAGGUUCCCCUAGCAGCUGUCAUGGACACUAUACUAAGAUUCUUGGCACAUAAUUUGGCGAGCCCAAAGUCAGAAAUUUUUGGAGUGAAGGAAUCAUCUAACAAAACAUUGCGAGGGUUGAUGUCAAAGUGAAUAAUUGGAUGGCUACAGCCCUCAUGAAGAUACUCGAUUGCUUUUGCUAUACCAGUACUAAUUUGUUGUAGCUUCUCCCACCCCAUGAAAUAAUCCUUGUUAUCCGGUGGAAAUAUGAAGCUUUGCAGAGAACCUUUCGAAAAAAAAUUGUAUACUAGAGCGCAGUGAACUCCUUCUGCGCAAAAGCCAAGCAAACGAACCACAUUGAUAUGGUGAAUUUUGCCCAUAAUUUCCACUUCAGUGAUGAACUCUUUCCCUUCUCCUUGUGUAUUGUUGAGAAUCUUCACAGCCACUAGAAUCUCACUAGAGAGUUUUCCUUUAAAUACCGAUCCGUGAGCUCCUUCUCCUAGCUUUUCCUUAAAUCCACUCGUGAUCCUUUUUAUAUCAGAGUAUGAAAAUCUGGCAGGCUUUUGGGCUCUAUAAUCCUCUAAAAACUUAUCAAUUCUAACUUGAUCUUCUUCUUUUUCUCUGAAAUGCAGAUAAAUCUUAAUAAAUACAAUGGUGCCCAUUCCCAAUAUAAUUGAACCUGCAUUAAUUAACACAUUAACAGUUACAUUUUCCUCCCAGUAUAAACAAAUAAAAUAAUAAAGAAGACGCAAAUAGUACUUUGAAAUAUAAUAAAGACUCACCUAUAGCCGAAAAAAUAAGAGCUUUUGGAGGCUGAAAUUUUUUAUGUUUUUGGUUGCAAUAAAAACAUUCAAUGCCAGGUUUGGUGGUGUUGUUCAUCCAUUUGCAUUUCAUGCCUUUUGACUCGCACUUUGCACAACUUUGUUUGGGCCAACUCAAUCUGAGAAAAUUAUACCUCAGGUCUGAUCCCAUCAUAGACGCGUUGACGUCGAACAUCUUAGUACAAGAUAGAAGGUCCAAAUCAACGAUAUCUUCGUCCGAAUCAGCAACAUAAAUUGGACAAGUGAUCAUAUCUUGUGACUC
rnacentral:lncRNA from 1 species